UUUAGAGUAAAUAAACAUUAAAAACAUACAGAAUUUAUUUGCAUUAUGGACUAUUUUAAUUUAGCUACCCAGCAUUUUAAAAUUUUGAUUUUAUUAUCUAACAUUUUAAUUCGUUUGAUUUGAAUCAAUCGGCUGCAUUUUAAUUUCAAAUUUUGAAUGUGUCAUUUAUGUUUAAAGAUUUAGUUAAUUUGUUUUAUAUAAUUCUCACAACUGUAAAUUUAUUAAAAUAAGUAAUUAAGUUAAAUUUUGAAGUGAAUAUACCGUCGACUAACUCAAAUCACAUAAUUGAAAGUUUGGGUAGUAUAAUUAAAGUUUCGAAAGUUUGGACAACUAAAUCAAAAUUGUGCAUAGUUCAUAUAAGUUCUGUAGGUUUUUACCUAAGUAAAAAUCACUUUAAUCAUAAACUAAACCAACUUUUCUUAUUGGAAUAAAAUUUUUAUGAGGGUAUUAGAAUUGUAAAUCGAUUAUUAGAAUUUUUAUUUAAUUGUUAGAAUUAUAUGGACAUGUUAUUAGAAUUUUUUUAGCUUAUUAAGAUUGCAUGUGAUUUGUUAAAAUCUUUAUUUAGUUGUUAGGAUUAUAUAUAUAUAAUUACAAAAAUAUGCCUUAUUUCUGUUAAUUAAGAAAAAGAUAGCAAACUAAACCAACUGUUUUUAUUGGAAUAAAAUUUUUAUGAGGGUAUUAGAAUUGUAAAUCGCUUAUUAGAAUUUUUAUUUAAUUGUUAUGAUUAUAUGGACAUGUUGUUAGAAUUUUUUUAGGUUAUUAAGAUUGCAUGUGAUUUGUUAAAAUCUUUAUAUAGUUGUUAGGAUUAUAUAUAUAUAAUUGCAAAAAUAUGCCUUAUUUUUGUUAAGAAAAAGAUAGUAAACUAAACCAACUUUUGUUAUUGGAAUAUAAUUUUUAUGAGGGUAUUAGAAUUGUAAAUCGAUUAUUAGAAUUUUUAUUUAAUUGCUAGGAUUAUAUGGACAUGUCAUUGCAUGUAAUUUGUUAAAAUCUUCAUAUAGUUGUUAGGAUUAUAAAUAUAUAAUUACAAAAAUAUGCCUCAUUUUUGUUAAGAAAAAGAUAGUUCAUUAUCAUUUAAAUUUUAUAAAAGACGGUAAACAAUUGGGCGUUUUAAGCUGAGUUGGACAAAAUAGAAUUAUUUGGCUAAAAAAAAUGUUCACAUAAUCAUUUGGCAGAUUAUAAAUUUUUA
rnacentral:lncRNA from 1 species